AUGCGCUACGGCGGGGACGACGGCGGCGGCGCCGAGGAGGAGCACCUCGACCACCCCCUCAUCGCGGGGCUCAAGUCGCUCCGCCGCCGCGCCGCCGCGUGGGGGACCCGCUGGCCCGAGGCCGACCCGCUCCUCUGCCUCCGCCCCUUCCUCGACGUCGUGCGCUCCGACGAGACCGGCGCGCCCAUCACCGGCUCCGCGCUCUCCUCCCUGCACAAGCUCCUGUCCCUCGACCUCGUGGCGCCCGGCGGGGGCGCCGCCGAGGCCAUGGGCGCCGUCGUGGAGGCCGUCACCGGCUGCCGCUUCGAGGUCACCGACCCGGCCUCCGAGGAGGCCGUCCUCGCCCGGGUCCUGCAGGUGCUGCUCGCCUGCGUGCGCGGCCGCGCCGCCCCCGCGCUCUCCAACCGCCACGUCUGCGCCAUCGUCACCACCUGCUUCCGCGUCGUGCAGCAGGCCGGCACCAAGGGGGAGCUCCUGCAGCGCGUCUCCAGGCAGACCAUGCAGGAGGUCAUCCGCUGUGUCUUUGCCCGCCUUGCUGACAUUGAGCCCACCGCCAUCGUCAACGAGCAGAUUAGCAAGAACCAAGACUUGGGUGCUGAGGAGCUAGGGAAUGGGAAGAGUGAUUAUGUUUGUUUGAAUAGCUCCGGGGAUGAGGUCGGAGGUGGAUUUGGUGCCGUUCAAGACAAGGACAUGAUGGAGCCGCUCGGAGUUCCUUGCAUGGUGGAGAUAUUACAGUUCCUGUGCUCCCUCUUGAACAUAGCUGAAGACAUGGAUGUGAGCCAAAGGAUGAAUGGUAUUGAUUAUGAUGAGGACGUGCCCCUCUUUGCUCUGGGGUUGAUAAAUUCUGCCAUUGAGUUGUCAGCUUCGUCCAUCCACAGGCACCCAAAGUUGCUGGCUUUUGUACAGGAUGAACUGUUCCACAAUCUAAUGCAGUUUGGCUUGUCAAUGAGCCCCCUGAUUCUGUCGACAGUGUGCAGCACUGUUUUUACUCUCUUCUACCAUUUACGUCAGGAACUUAAGUUGCAAAUUGAGGCUUUCUUCUCGUGUGUGAUCCUAAGAUUAGCCCAGGGUAGAUAUGGAGCUAGUUAUCAGCAGCAGGAAGUCGCCCUGGAGGCUCUAGUGGAUUUCUGUCGGCAGAAAGAGUUUAUGGCUGAGAUGUAUGCAAACAUGGACUGUGAUCUACAGUGUUCAAAUGUUUUUGAAGACCUAGCUAAUCUUCUGUCUAGAAGUGCAUUCCCUGUAAACAGUCCGUUGUCUGCAUUGAAUGUCCUUGCAUUGGAUGGUUUGGUUGCUGUCAUUCAGGCGAUAGCAGAGAGGAGUGAUCAUGCACAUCAGCAUCAUGGGCAGACAGUGCCAGAAAUAAGUGAAUAUUUUCCUUUUUGGCAGUUGAAGUGUGAGGGCAGUAAUGAUCCUGAUCAAUGGGUUAGAUUCGUUCACCAGCAAAAAAGCAUCAAGAGAAAGCUAAUGGUUGGUGUUGAGCAUUUCAAUAGGGACAAAAAGAAGGGCUUUGAGUACCUGCAAGGUGUCCACCUAUUGCCUGAAAAACUUGAUCCACGAAGUGUUGCUCUGUUCUUUCGGUACACACCUGGAUUGGACAAGAACCUUCUUGGGGAAUACCUUGGGAAUCAUGAUGAGUUCUCUAUUCUGGUACUUCACGAAUUUGCUAAAACCUUUGACUUCGAGGAUAUGAACUUGGACGCUGCCCUAAGGCUCUUCUUGGAAACUUUCCGGCUGCCUGGUGAGUCACAAAAGAUACAGCGGAUUCUGGAGGCCUUCUCUGAGAGGUAUUAUGAACAGUCACCACACAUGUUUGUUAAUAGGGAUGCUGCUCUGGUGCUGUCGUAUUCAGUAAUUAUGCUCAACACAGAUCAACACAAUGUAAGGGUUAAGAAGAAGAUGACUGAAGAAGACUUUAUCAGGAACAAUCGCCGUAUCAAUGGUGGGAAUGAUCUUCCGAGGGAGUUCUUGUCGGAGCUGUUUUAUUCUAUAUGUCGGAAUGAGAUCAAAACCAUUCCCGAGCAAGGAGCUGGAUGCUCUGAGAUGUCUUACAGCCGCUGGGUCGAUCUGAUGUGGAAGUCAAAGAGGACAUCAGUGUAUAUUGCUUGUGACUCCUACCCUUUUCUUGAUAAUGACAUGUUCCCUAUCAUGGCUGGACCAUCAGUUGCUGCUAUCUCCGUGGUUUUUGAUAAUGUUGAGCAUGAGGAGAUUCUUACAGGAUGCAUUGAUGGUUUUCUAUCUGUAGCAAAGCUGGCUGCAUUCUAUCAUCUCGAUGAUGUAUUGAAUGAUCUUGUUGUGGGUCUAUGUAAGUUCACCACUUUGUUGAACAAUUCAUAUGCUGAUGACCCUGUAAUAGCUUUUGGGGUCGAUACCAAGGCUAGAAUGGCAACAGAGGCGGUCUUCACAAUUGCAACUACUUAUGGUGAUCAUAUACGGAGUGGAUGGAGGAAUAUAGUAGAUUGCAUUUUAAGGUUGCACAAGAUAGGCCUUCUUCCGGGUCGCCUCACUGGCGAUACAGGUGACGAUCAGGAGUCGUCUUCAGAUUCAUUGCCUAGCAAGCUUGGUUCAUAUGCAGUUGCACCUCAAGCCUUACCAAUCAACACCCCUAAAAAAACAUAUGGGCUGAUGGGGAGGUUUAGCCAACUACUGUACUUAGAUGCUGAAGAACCAAGGUCCCAGCCAACUGAGGAGCAACUGGCAGCUCAGAGGAAUGCUUUGGAGACCGUAAAGAAAUGCCAAAUAGGUACCAUCUUCACCGAGAGUAAAUUCUUACAAGCUGACUCACUCUCAAAUCUAGCAAGAGCCCUCAUUCAGGCAGCAGGCCGACCUCAGAGGAUAACCAGCUCGCUUGAUGAUGAAGGCACGGCAGUGUUCUGCUUAGAGCUCCUAAUUACUGUCACAUUAAAUAACAGAGACAGGAUUGUGCUUUUGUGGCAGGGUGUUUAUGAGCACAUAACCCAUAUCGUUCAGUCCACAGUGAUGCCUUGCAAUCUGGUGGAGAAGGCUGUGUUCGGGCUCCUGCACAUCUGCCAGAGGCUGCUUCCUUAUAAGGAGAAUCUGGUAGAUGACUUACUGAGGUCACUGCAGCUGAUUUUGAAACUUGAUGCUCGUGUAGCUGAUGCUUACUGUGAGAACAUCACGUUGGAGGUCACACGACUUGUGAAGGCCAAUGCAACCCAUAUCAAAUCUCAGAUGGGCUGGCGAACUAUAAUUUCCUUACUCUGCGUCACCGCUCGCCAUCCUGAUGCUUCUGAUGCUGGCUUUGAAGCUCUGGUUUUCAUCAUGUCUGAGGGAGCACACCUCUCACCUGCCAACUUUAUCGUUUCUGUGGAGGCCUCAAGGCAGUUUGCAGAAUCUCGGCUUGGGUCUGCAGAGAGAUCUAUCCAUGCCUUGAACCUAAUGGCUGACUCGGUAAAUUGCCUUACACGCUGGUCACGUGAGGUCAAGGAAGCUGGUGGCGAGGCAGACCGGAUAUUGGAAGGCAUCGCUGAGAUGUGGCUGCGGCUAGUGCAGGCAUUGAGGAAGGUGUGCACGGAUCAGAGGGAGGAAGUGAGGAACCAUGCGCUGUUAUGUUUGCACAGAUGCUUAAUAGUUGAUGGAAUAUCAGUCUCCUCUUCUGCAUGGUUGAUGUCCUUUGAUAUUAUCUUCCAGUUGCUUGACGAGUUGUUGGAGAUUGCUCAGAGUUACUCACCGAAGGAUUUCAGAAACAUGGAGGUGUCCCUCUUGCAUGCCGUGAAACUGUUGUGCAAGGUGUUCUUGCAGUCACUUAAAGACUUGUCUGCACAGAGCAGUUUCAGCAAGCUGUGGUUGGAAGUCCUCGACAUGAUAGAGAAGUUCAUGAAAGUGAAACUGAGAGGGAGGAGGACUGAGAAGCUACAUGAGGCAAUCCCUGAGCUACUGAAGAACAUACUGCUGGUGAUGAAAGCAAAUGGUGUACUGUCAAAGACAAGUGCCAGCGAGGAGAACACGUUGUGGGAAGCAACAUGGCUUCAAGUCAACAAGGUGGCGCCAUCGCUGCAGCCAGAGGUUUUCCCUGACAACGAAAGCGACUCCGCAGCAGAAGGCGAGCAGAGCAAGCCGGAGAGUUCAGCACAGGAGGGCCAAACUGCCGAGCAAUAG
rnacentral:rRNA from 1 species